UACGAAGGGGGCUAGCGUUGCUCGGAAUCACUGGGCGUAAAGGGUGCGUAGGCGGGUCUUUAAGUCAGAGGUGAAAUCCUGGAGCUCAACUCCAGAACUGCCUUUGAUACUGAAGAUCUUGAGUUCGGGAGAGGUGAGUGGAACUGCGAGUGUAGAGGUGAAAUUCGUAGAUAUUCGCAAGAACACCAGUGGCGAAGGCGGCUCACUGGCCCGAUACUGACGCUGAGGCACGAAAGCGUGGGUAGCAAACAGG
rnacentral:rRNA from 1 species